ensembl:lncRNA
GGGGGGGGGGGGGGGGGGGGGGGGGGGGGGGGGGGGGGGGGGGGGGGGGUGGUAGUUACGAGGCCGGGAACACAGAGCAGCGGCCAGGGGGAUGUUUAGAUAGGUGCAGGCUGCCACUAGGAAGUCCAUGUUCCAGUAUAAACAGGCCGCCACACAACCCAGCACUCCCAACUGUGGGAGAAAUCUGCCCUGAGAUGCAUGGUGCGGCGCUCGCCAGCAAAGUCAAGGAGGGAGGGAAUGAACGAGUGGGUGGGGGGAGGCAGGGGAGGAUGGGUACACGGCCACUUUCAGAUCACUGCUGAAUAUACACACAGCUGAAUCUGGCCUCUGGACCUCUUUCCUCCUGCUUCCCUCACUGAGGUCCAUGUAGGACUCUUGAGACUGUCAUGCCUGCCUUUAUCUCAGUGUAAUCUCUGCUUUACAUUCUCCAUCGAUGCGCGCACACACACACACACACACACAAAAGAACACACUCUGAGGUACACACUCCCACAAGUCUGCAUUAUGUACAAGUAGAUUUAUUAAAUAAGCAGAUGCUUUUGUCCAGAGACGCUUACGAGUGAUGGAAAGACUGGAUGUAACAUGAGAUGUGGUGUGUCCCGAGGACAUUUAACAUGUUGACGGGAAAUGCACGGGAAUCCAUGCAUGCCUUCUGCUACUGCAGCUCCUCUGCAACAAACAAACCCACAUUCUCUCUAAACGACAAAGGAACUGUUAAAGUUAAAAGAUAUGUGGCCAAAGCUAUUUACCCUUUAGCAAAUUUUAAUGAAGAAUCAAAAUUUUAUUAUAAAAUUCCCAAUAUCGAUCAAUCUCUUUCCCAAUUAAACUCUUUGCAUGACCAUUGAUCUGAAACUACAGUGAUGUAGUCCAUCUGUGGAGUGUGUCAAAAUUACAAAUCUGAAAAAUCUUCAGUUGUCGCACAAGAUUUCUGAGUGCAAAAGGAAUUGCUGGCAAAAUGUACAAAUGUCACCCAGAAAAGAGAUUAAAAGUGUUUCAAGGGUUUUUCAGUGUCCACCCCACUCAGCUUAAGGAGGAUGGUGACCUCGCUUUUGUGCGAGCAGCGCUCCUGUGUGCGCUCGCUGACGAAAAGCGGUAACCCUGGCAACAGCUGCUAAGGUGCUGCUACUCAUCUCCCUUCUCGCUAAUACCCAUUGCCACUCUGCUUUCCCUCCUUCCUCCUCGCUCACUCUCUUGCUCUGCGGCGGUGAGUCAUGGUGGUGAUUUUCAGUUUCCUGUACAGCAUCUCAAACUGUUCAUCAAAGUACACCAAGGACACAUUUCAUGAUGAGCACUUGUGAAUGUUCAAAAGGGUUCACCAGUUCAGCCAUUUCCUCUUUAACCUUUUAGUCUUUUUUUUUAUUUCUCAGAAGGAAAAAAUCUGUAAAACAAGAAGAAUGUUUUUUUUUUACCUGGAAAUCUUUGUUUCAAGAUCUUUUUAACAACGUCACUUCUUUAAUGUGGUUUUGACCGUCGUUGACGUUUCCUCUUGUAGAAGACAAAGGAAACCUACUGAGAAUGUUCCAUUCCCACACAAGCCACACCAUAAAAACUAGAUAUUUUUUACAACAGAAAAUAAUUCUAAUGAGUAAAGAAAAAAGUAUACAUCACAAACAAAUAUUGAUAAAUCACAUCGGAGCUUUACCAUACCAUACCAUAUUUAUUUAUAAAGCACCAUUUCAAAAUAGCAUGGCAGCUAACCAAAGUGCUGUACAUAAAAUGGCCAAAUGCUUGAACAAGAAACACAAUAAGAACAGGCAAAAUAAAUAAGAACAAAGCAUAAAUAGUCGGAGAUAAAAAUUCCUACUAAAAACAAUAAAAUAGGAGAACAGUUAACAGCACUGUCAAAAAAUAAAAUAAUGCGACGAAUGAUAAAAACAUUUGAAAUGGCACAAAUAAAACCAAAAGAAUCAACUAACUUCAAAAAAUGUAUUUUUCUCUUUUCUGUUAAGAGUACUUGCAUCAUUUUAAUACAUAACAAAUCCAGCUGUGUGUGUGUGUGUGUGUGUGUGUGUGUGUGUGUGUGUGUGUGUGUGUGUGUGUGUCUGUAAUACAUGCAUACAGGUGGAAGAUUGUAGCAUUGUUAUGAGCCAGCGCUGUGAUCAAGGGGCUUUCGAUAUUCAGAGAAGAUAAGGUUUGUUUAAAAAAGGUCCCAGGACUUUGCCAAGAGCCAUUUGUGGCCAACAGCAGCUGGCUUGGCACACACACACACACCUUCAUCUGUGUGAUCUGGCCUCCAUCUCUGACAGCAGAUCAUAAUCACACCCAUUCAAGAUUCAAUCACUGUCUCUGAAACUGUGAGAAGAGUGAAUGAGAAGUAUGCGCUUUGGCU